CAUGCGCAGAUGUUAAUUCCGCCUCGCGAAAACAUUCAAAACAAAAACACUCGAAACGAAAAUAAAAUAUUCACCACCACCUGGUUUGCCAACAUCGUCUUUACAAGGAAUGUCCAGCAGUGCAUGACAGAGGCCGGUCACUCCCAUUAAGUCCAGCUGAAGAGCCUUCCCAGUUUAUAGGACAAAAUGCAGUUACACAGAUUUUAACGGUGUUGGAAACAAUCAGAGACGAGAACAGGGAAAUGAAGCGGAUGCUGCAGCGGCUCUUGGCUAGGUCAGCUACUGAUGACAAGCCAAUGCAACUGCCAGAGAACAUCAGUCUUCCAAUUGGAACAUUUGAGCAAAUGGAUGAGUUUGAAGAGCAUCUUGGUGAUGAAGCUACGAUCCAUCUUUUCUAGGACUGCUGCAUAGUUCAAGCUUUUUUAUCAAAUAUAUUAAGCAAUGUUGUCAAUGUAAUUGACAGUUCUUUCUUCAUUGAUCCUAAACCAUUCCUUUAAGGCUCAUCUUCUAAGAAAGCAUACAAUUUUUUUUAUCUGGAAAUGAAAUGGUAUAUAUUCCUUUGCAAAAGAAGAAACAGCAUUCCAGUUUUUGAAGGUUUUAAAAGACAUAUAUAUAUAUAU